AGGGAAGUGUAAACGAGGGCAGCUCAGAAUCCUUUCCUGUCAGCUUCACGUGCUAGCUUUUGAGCUGAGGAAGCAUGCUCUGUGUUUCUGAGGUGUUCCCUUCUGUUUUAAAAGAGAAGGGCUGCAAGGUGACAUUUUUCUUGUGGCUUGCAGCUUUGCUCCUUGGCACAGACCUUUGUUUCCAUGUGGCAGACUGUUUUGCAGUCUGUGGGUGUCCCAACUUCAGACAUGCAUCUUCUAGACUGACAACUGUUCUAAGGAGGAAAGAAAGAAAGUGGUUUAAUCAGAACGACAUUUGAGUGUUAACACAGCGAGGUGAACGAGGGCCCCAGAAGCAAACUUGGUGCUGUUGAAGCACUGUCCGAUGACAAGGUUGAAGGUAACACCUGCCGGCAGAUGUGGAAAACACCUCUGGAUUGUGGUGAGGAGAAAGUGAAACACAAUGACUGAGCUGCCUGCAAAGAGCUUCUGGUGGAAGCUUGGUAGCAACUUGGAACUAGAUCAGAUCAACUUCUUGUGUGCUGACAUCCAGCCAGGCUUUGGGGAUGAGUCUGCAUAGCAGGGUAUGUGUGGCAGGACUGAGGCUUGGGGAGCAGGCCAGGUGGAAUCCAGUGCGCUUUGCUCUUGUUCUCAGUGUUUGUUUUUGCUCAGGAGGGCAGGUGGUGAAGCUCAUGAAGCAAUGCCUGCAGAUGGGGUUUGCGAAACAAGAGGUCCUGAAGGCCUUGUGUGACACGCAUGGAGCUGUAGCAGGGCUGCAUCAGUGUAAAACAGCAGAAAUGCACGGAGGUGUGAAGGUGAGUGGUGGGCUCCAGUAGUGCAGGAGGGGAUGUACGUGCUCAGGGUUUGGCUGCUUCUGUGUGUGUUUUAAGUGAGUGUGAUGCCACUGCUUGGUCCGUUUGAGUGUAUGGAACAAGUGUGCCAUCCUUUGUGAUGGAGUCAUGUGCAAGGAGUCCUAUGGAUUUGAGAGCUGACUUGAAGCCUGUGGGCAUCACGGAGGAAUAGGGGUAGGGGAUGAGGCAAGGGAAGUUGGGGUAAAGGGAUGAGGCGUAGGGACAGGAACCUCUUUGGCCUCUUUGGUGAGCUGUGCCCAAGGUGAGAGAGUUGACUCUUGUGGGCUUUGAGACACGUCUUCCAGUUGCACGCUGUGCUAUUUCCGUUGUGUUGACCUCUUGAGCUCCAGCCCCAAGUGAGGAUCCGAGCAGUAGCGCAGAAGGGACGGUUUAGACUGGAAGUGCAAUGCAAAGGGCUGGAGCUAGCAGGAGCAGGGAAGUGAUCAUCCUCCUGUACUCAGCACUGGUGAGUCCUCACCUCGAGUACUUGCAGCACCUUAGAGGCAACCUUGAUUUCUCCAGCCUUCUGUGAGCUUUGUGCCACGAGAGCUCUGCAGCUUCUACCUGUGACGUGAGAGCGUAUGGAAGGCCCUGCAAGAAGUCUGGGUAGGUGAUGUCAGUUGCUCUUCCUCUCCCCACAAGUGCUGGACAUAGCUGGGAACGGGAGUGGGGGACAUCCCAGCAGUGGGUUCCUACCUCAGCAGAACGGAAGGGCUGUCCUGAUGGGUGUAUUGAACUGGAGUGAAUCUGACGCUGAUGAGAGAAAUGAGGGGCGUGUGGAAAAAAAGGAGUGUGUUGCAUUUGGUGGUGCAAGAUGUUCUGGGAACUGCUGCUAGCAAUGCCCAGAAGGCUUCCUUUUGCUGGGGAGAGGUUUAGCAAGGAUUUUUUAUAUGAAGAGAGUUCAUCCUAUGUAUCCUUUGCAUUGACCUUUUGUUGUACUGCUUGAGAAAUUCCUAUUUCUUGCUGUAGAGAAUACACAUGCACCCUGCACUUGUAUCUGCACAAAGAAUCUUCUAAACAUCUCAGUACAUGUUUCUUUUUGGCACUGGGAUGGAGCUGUGUGGAACGCAGACUUGGAUGAAUCUUCAGUCAGGUGCAGGAAUGCGUAAUGCUCAUCUUAGAUGACACGCAGACAGCAGCAGUAGAGAGGCAAAUUUCAUAGGGUGGCAUGCUUUUUUUUUUUUUUCUUUUGUUUCAGUGAUAACCGUGGAAGCAUAGAAGCGUUACCCAGACAAAAUGAGCGUUUGUCACCUGGGCUUUCUACAAAUGACGUAGGCAGUGGAAGUCAGCAUGGGAAGCAUCCGUGAGAGCCCUGCAAAAGACUGGUGAGAGUUCCCCUGGCAGCCUCCUUUGGCAAUCUCAGGUCUCUGUAAGCUCUUAAGCUGUGUCGUAAGUCCUCCCGUGGUGCUGACUCAGCUCUCCCUGUCUUUGGUGUAGGAGAGCUGGACUUCAACUCCUUCCUGUUUCCUGCCUAUCUGCUCCCUGCUUUGCCCAUGGCCCAGUGAGCCUUUUAUUCUUCACCCCCGGACUUGCACGUGUGGAUAACAGCAUCUGCUUAUGUACGCUUCUUUUCUGCUUGUGGUGUCAGGCUGAGCGACGGCUCCCAGCCCAGCUUGUGCUUAGCGAGACACAGAGUAGCUGGAGAUGGAGUUCUCCGUGUCGCUAAAGCGUGGGCCUGAUGGCUGUCAUGAGCCAAAGCAUCAGAGUUUCUGUGUUUGAUUUCUGUGUUGGGCUGAGCGGGUAGAGCAGGGCAAGGGGGCUGAUUUGGACGUGCUGCUUUCCAAAUACGGUGCUGUUUGCGUGGCAGUGCUUCUGGCGUUCCAAAUUGUGUCAGAUGUCACUGAAUUCCUUGGAAUCUGUUGAGUUGACUUGUGCAGGUUUCAUUCUUCUGCUGAACCCUUCCUGGCCGCUUCUGUGCAUAGCCAUGGCUGUUGCUUCUUUCUUGCCUCCUUUCUUUGUUGUGUUUGGUACUGUGCAAGCCAUGAAUUGCCAGGGAGCAGCUGAAAGUGCUCUGGAGUUGUGGGGGACAAACUGCCAAGAAACAAGGUGCAGCUUCAAAGCCCCAAAGUUUGGAGAGAUGAGAGAUGCACAGCGCUCUGCCUGGUGCAGGACAUGAUGUGCUCUGCAAGGCGCUUUCCACAAAGCCCUCACGUCCUUUCUCAAACUGCAUCCAAAGCAACCCAGUGCCCUGUGCUUGUUGUACCCGGAGGUAUCGGUGCCAGGAGUUGCUGCUGUGUUUGCAAUGACAUUGUGUCGGCAGGGUGACGUUAAUGGGGUGCAAUGCCCUCAGUCAUUCAAAGCAUCCUUGCAGAUGUUCCUAGUGAGGGGCAUGUUUCAUUGACACCAUAGGUUGUUUUCUGGAAAAUGAAACAGUGGGCUUGCGUACCUCAAGAUGGUUUUCAUUUCCUGCUGAGCCCAGUGCACUUCACGUCUGCUGCCAUUGCCCCACGGCCCUGUUGUGGUUUAAGCCGGUGGGUGGCUCAGCACCACACAGUCCUUUGCUUACUCCCCCCUUCCCAAUGGGAUGGGGGAGAGAAUUAUGAGGGGAAAAAAAAGGAAGUGGAACUCAUGCCUUGAGAGAAAUCUCUUUCCAAAGGAAGAGAAAAGGAAGGCUAGAAGUAAUAUAUAUGUCUAUUUAUGAAUGUAUGUAACAAGUGAUGUAGAAGCAGUGGCUCAGCACCUCCCAACCAAUGGCCAAGCAGAGGAAGAGAGUGAGAUGAACUCCCACCCCCUUCAAAACCCCUUCCACUUGAUGUCAUAUGGUAUGGAAUAUCCCUUUGGCCCGUUGACGUCAGCUGUCCUAAUUUGGUUUCCUCCCAGCUCCUUCUUGAGAGCUUUGCUGAGAACGGCCUUGGCUCUGUACAAGUCUGCUUAUCAGAAACUCUAAACGUCAGAGUGUUAUCACAGUUGUAGCAUCAUAGCAGACACUGAAGAAAAAUCGAUCCCACCUGAGACUAAGACAGCCCCCCAGUGUCUGUGCAGCGAGCCAUGUGGGGCUGCAGGUCGUGCAUUUCCCUGGCAGCAUUGGCCAGGGGUGCUGGGGAGGUUUGUGUGCUCACUUGGGCACGGCGCUGCUGUGCCUGUCAACACAGCGUGCUCCGUGCUCUCCAAGCAGCAGAAGAGCGUUUCAUCAACAACGGGCCGUAAUAUUUACUGGAACCAGAUGCAUUUGUGUCUCUGAGGCUGGGUUUACCCAACAGGCUCUUCUCGAAGGAGCCGUUUUGAUUUCCUUUGUACGUGUGUGAGCAGAAGUGCUUUUCCCCCUUGUGUUCUGUCCCACGGUCUGUUGGUUUCCUCUGUGCUGCUUCAUCCCUGGAGCUCGCUGCUGCACAGAAGAGUACAGGCGUGUUUAUCACCUGUAGGGGUAAAGGGGAGCCUGGUUGGCAUAGCAGUGAGCAGCAGCUAACGGGCUGUGCAGAGGAGGGCUUUGCAGAAGGAGCAGGAGUGCCUGCGUCCAUCUGUAUCCUCGGGUACGUUCUGGCAGUGAGGCAGCAGCUGUGGCCACAGGGACUGAAUGCAGACUUGGCUUGGGGCUGCCAUGUGGCGCUUCCUACCCCUACCGUCCUGUGUAUGCCUGGCGAAGCACAGCCACCCUGCACCCACGGCAAGCGUUUGUCUUAGUGUCAUUUUUCAUGCUGUCUUGUGAAGCUCAGGCACUGGGGGCAGCUUCCCCCCAAGAAAGGGAGGAGGAAAUGAGGUCGUCAUGGAAGCCAAAAGGCAAAAAUGCACGCGGGAAAGAAAUUGGCAGAGCAGUCUGGUAGUAGUUCUGUGUUUCUCUUCCUUUAUUUCCAUGCAGGUGAAAGAGAUGGCUGCUCUAAGCCGGCCUUGAAUGCAAAGAAGGACCCUAGUGUGGAUUUGCCAUAGGCCCAGCAAGAGGCUCAACAGGACCGA
ensembl:lncRNA